rnacentral:rRNA from 1 species
UACGUAGGGGGCGAGCGUUGUCCGGAAUCAUUGGGCGUAAAGCGCGUGUAGGCGGCUCGGUAAGUCUGCUGUGAAAGUCCAGGGCUCAACCCUGGGAUGCCGGUGGAUACUGCCGGACUAGAGUUCGGAAGAGGCGAGUGGAAUUCCCGGUGUAGCGGUGAAAUGCGCAGAUAUCGGGAGGAACACCUAUGGCGAAGGCAGCUCGCUGGGACGUUACUGACGCUGAGACGCGAAAGCGUGGGGAGCAAACAGG